rnacentral:rRNA from 1 species
AUUGAACGCUGGCGGCAGGCCUAACACAUGCAAGUCGAGCGGAGCGGCGGACGGGUGAGUGAUGCCUAGGAAUCUGCCUGGUAGUGGGGGAUAACGUCCGGAAACGGGCGCUAAUACCGCAUACUAUCAGAUGAGCCUAGGUCGGAUUAGCUAGUUGGUGGGGUAAAGGCCUACAAAGGCGACGAUCCGUAACUGGUCUGAGAGGAGGAGCAGUCACACGGGAACGGAGACACGGUCCAGAUUCCGACGGGAGGCAGCAGUGGGGAAUAUUGGACAAUGGGCGAAAGCCUGCUCCAGCCAGGCGGCUUGUGUGAAGAAGGUCUUCGGAUUGUAAAGAACUUUAAGUUGGGAGGCGUUACCAACAGAAUAAGCACCGGCUAACUUCGCGACAGCCGCGGUAAUAC